GUAGUCAUAUGCUUGUCUCAAAGAUUAAGCCAUGCAUGUCUAAGUAUAAGCACUUAUACCGUGAAACUGCGAAUGGCUCAUUAAAUCAGUUAUAGUUUAUUUGAUAGUACCUUUACCUGGAUAACUGUGGUAAUUCUAGAGCUAAUACAUGCUAAAAACCUCGACUUCGGAAGGGGUGUAUUUAUUAGAUAAAAAACCAAUGCCCUUCGGGGCUCCUUGGUGAUUCAUAAUAACUUAACGAAUCGCAUGGCCUUGCGCCGGCGAUGGUUCAUUCAAAUUUCUGCCCUAUCAACUUUCGAUGGUAAGGUAGUGGCUUACCAUGGUCUCAACGGGUAACGGGGAAUUAGGGUUCUAUUCCGGAGAGGGAGCCUGAGAAACGGCUACCACAUCCAAGGAAGGCAGCAGGCGCGCAAAUUACCCAAUCCCAAUACGGGGAGGUAGUGACAAUAAAUACUGAUACGGGGCUCUUUCGGGUCUCGUAAUUGGAAUGAGUACAAUCUAAAUCCCUUAACGAGGAACAAUUGGAGGGCAAGUCUGGUGCCAGCAGCCGCGGUAAUUCCAGCUCCAAUAGCGUAUAUUAAAGUUGUUGCCGUUAAAAAGCUCGUAGUUGAACCUUGGGCCUGGCUGAUCUGUCCUCCUAAUCGAGCGUACGGAUUCGGUUGGGUCUUUCCUUCUGGGGAACCCUAUGCCCUUUAUUGGGUGUAGUGGGGAACCAGGACUUUUACCUUGAAAAAAUUAGAGUGUUCAAAGCAGGCCUUUGCUCGAAUACAUUAGCAUGGAAUAAUAGAAUAGGACAUCGGUUCUAUUUUGUUGGUUUCUAGGACUGCUGUAAUGAUAAUAGGGAUAGU
rnacentral:rRNA from 1 species